UCGAGAAUUUUUCACAAUGGGCGAAAGCCUGAUGGAGCGACGCCGCGUGGGGGAUGAAGGGCUUCGGCUCGUAAACCCCUGUCAUUUGCGAACAAAGGCGCCGACCUAACACGUCGUCGUCUGAUAGUAGCAGAAGAGGAAGGGACGGCUAACUCUGUGCCAGCAGCCGCGGUAAUACAGAGGUCCCAAGCGUUGUUCGGAUUCACUGGGCGUAAAGGGUGCGUAGGUGGUGGACUAAGUCGGGUGUGAA
rnacentral:rRNA from 1 species